CCCUUCUUAGGACCACACCUGGAGAGUUUCCAGUACUCUACCAGUCUCAGCUAUGGGAGGGAGAGUCAAGCAGAGGCCUGUCCAUUCCAUUCCUAGCUCAGGCAGUGGCUAGCGCGUGGAAGGCAAUCUGCUCCAACU
rnacentral:snoRNA from 1 species